rnacentral:lncRNA from 1 species
GAACCAGCCUGUCCUUCUUAGGCAAGGGGAGAGAAAGUCAAAACUGGGAGAGGCCCCUUUAAGCAGGGAAGCCGGCCUCCGCGGGAAAACGAAGUUGAUGGGCAGAAGGGGAGGGUUGUCCGGAUUUUGACUUUUUUUUUUUUUUUUUUUUCAAUUCUUCUCUGUUCCGGGAUCCGGAGCGGAGGAUGAGAACGACUUCCUGAAGCUGCUGCGUUUGGGCCUGUUAGGGAUCUUCCUUGUAAAGACCUCGUUUGCAUAAAUUCAGGGCAGGAGAUGAAGAAACUGAGGCACAGAGGAGUGAAAUCAUUGGCUCAGUGCCCCACAUCUCUCUCCAGAAAAGGAAGAGGAAGACGGAGCAUGGGCAGGUCACGGCUGGAGAGGGAGACGGGGUCCGAAGUUGCUGACGGAGAUAAGAGAAUGGGGAUUCAGGCAAUGGUGGGAACCAAGGUGAGGCCGAGGGACCGGCCCCUGACGAUGAGCGGGGACGGGAUGGGGGCCUGGAGAGUGAGGGAUGUGAUCGAUUCCCCCCAGAGCACCAAAGGGACCCGCAGACAGAAGCGAAGGUUGAAGUCAGGGGACGGGAAUGUCGAGCCGGGGAGGCGGCCGUGGGUGAUGGGACGCAGGCUCUGCGGCUCCCGGGGAGGCGGGAACAGCGAGCAUCCCCGUCCCCUGCCUCCGGGUGGCCCUGCCCCUCCCUGGGCCGUGUCACCGUGCAGCUCCUCCCGUCGACAGAUGGAAUCUGCUUCCCCAGCCCCCGAACUGGACCCCGCAGCUCGCGGUGGCCGGUCGAACGCAGCCAGGCGAGCGUGUCCGGGUUCCCAGACGACGCCUUCAGGGCCUCUGAGGGUUUCUCUUCUCGCUCUGGCUUCUCUGCCUCCUCCGCAAGAACAUGCCCGGGCCGGCCCGCGGCGGGGUGCGGGAUGCGAGGGAAAGGUCGAGAAGAACUGAGUCAUCCCGGCUGGAGUCAUCCUCGACCAGCCGGCCUCUCGAGGGCCCGCCAGACGACGGCAGCUUCAUGAGCGAGCUCCGCCGGGGUCCACAGAGCCUGGCCCGGAUUAGCAGAACUGUCCAGAGGACCCAAAGAGACAUGAGAAAAAAAUAAAUGGUCGGGGGCCAGCCUGGCAGCAGAGGGGUUAGGUUUGCACACUCUGCUUUGGCAGCUGGGGGUUUGCCAGUUCGGAUCCUGGGCGUGGACCUAGCACCACUCGUCAAGCCACGCUGUGGCGGUGACCCACAUAAAAUAGAGGAAGAUCAGCAUAGAUGUUAGCUCAGUGCCAAUCUUCCUCAAGCAGAAAGAGGAAGAUUGGCAAGAAGUGUUAGCUCACGGCCAAUCUUCCUCACCAAAAAAAAAAAAAAAAAAAAGGGAGUCGGGCAUGGUCAAAGAAUAAGAGCUUCAGAGCUCGUGCCACUUGCUAGCUGAUAGCUGUUAUUAUCGUUUAAAUAAAGGAACGGUGGUCUUAAUUCUGG